GGCGCAGGGGCGGGGCCGGAGCGGGGCUUCCGGUGGCAGGGUCUGGGGCCGGGGCGCAGGCACCAUGUCCGGCCGCGAAGGUGGCAAGAAGAAGCCCCUGAAGCAGCCCAAGAAGCAGGCCAAGGAGAUGGACGAGGAAGACAAGGCGUUCAAGCAGCGGCAGAAGGAGGAGCAGAAGAAACUCGAGGAGCUGAAAGCGAAGGCCGCGGGGAAGGGCCCCCUGGCCACAGGUGGAAUUAAGAAAUCGGGCAAAAAGUGAACUGUUCCUUGGGCCUCGGGCAAUGGUGAUCCUUAAUUCCACUCCUAACAUCAGGAUUCCUGUCGUCACAUCUCUUGCCACCUAGAGCUAAAAUGAAGUGUUGUCUUGGAGGCUGUGGUACAUUUAAGAAUAAACUUUUGUAAAAAAAAAUAAUUAAUGAUAAUGAUAAUCAUGCAUCAGCUCAUCUCUUCAGUUCUUCUCAUUCUGCCAUUUCAACCUUAGCUGUGUGGUCAGCGUGAACCCAGCUCAGAAUCCUGUCAAAGCGUGUUCUUCAAGAUACUCUGUGUAACACCUGGAAUUAAACCAACUGGCUGGAAAUGGC